rnacentral:rRNA from 1 species
GACGAACGCUGGCGGCGUGCCUAAUACAUGCAAGUAGAACGCUGAAGGAGGAGCUUGCUCUUCUGGAUGAGUUGCGAACGGGUGAGUAACGCGUAGGUAACCUGCCUGGUAGUGGGGGAUAACUAUUGGAAACGAUAGCUAAUACCGCAUAAUAACAGUUGUUGCAUGACAACUGUUUGAAAGGUGCAAUUGCAUCACUACCAGAUGGACCUGCGUUGUAUUAGCUAGUUGGUGGGGUAACGGCUCACCAAGGCGACGAUACAUAGCCGACCUGAGAGGGUGAUCGGCCACACUGGGACUGAGACACGGCCCAG